rnacentral:lncRNA from 1 species
GAUGAAAACCAAACAGUACCGCGCCCACAUGCGACAUCAACUACUCUUCUACAGAUUGUCGGUGCCGUAAUCACACUAAAGCAGAUAUGCUUCUUCUACGGGGAGAAAAAGAAAAACAGCAGAGGAGCACACAAUGAGAGAGGCGCGGCGGCGGGGGCGCAGGAUAUACGGACUGAAGCGGAGAAGCUUUCUUUACCAGAGUUUUUCAGGACACCAUAAGGACAUCAUGAGCGUAAUGAAAGUUGAUGAAGAGGACAAAAGAGAUGAUUUAGCUGUCACUCCACGUAUCUGCUGAGCAGCUCCUAACCGAGACUGCCUAUCAGACUGGCUGCUGCUGAAGUUGAGGUGCAGCUGUAGCUGGAAGAAGUGGAUUCCUAGAAGGCAGCGGCUCUGGAGAUGCCGCUCCCCCAGGGCAUGAUGCUCUGCCUGGGCAUACUGCUUAUGGCUGUUGGGGGGGUCAUUGCCCUGUGUGUGGGCCUGCCCUAUCAGUCUGCCCCGCUUUUUGGAGUCGGGCUGUUGGUGGCCCUGGGGGGCGUGGCCCUGCUGAUCAGUGGACUCUGCAUGGCAAUGAAGAAUCUCCAGGUGGCAGUGCCCGGACACUUCCUCCUGCACCCCCGCACAGGCAUGCGCUUCAGCCCACAGCAGGCCCUGGUUAUACAAAGGAGGUUGGACCGAAUUCGAAGAGAGAUGUCAGAGGACUCUGUAAGAAGCACGGCACCAGAGCCUGAACCCCCCCUCCCAUCCACCCCACCACCCUGGACUAUGGAGCCGCCUCCAUCCUACGACACAGUGAUGAAGAGCCAGGAGCACAGCGAUCAGCUUUAACCUCUCACUCUGGUGGACAUCUUACUUUAAUAGUGCCUUUUGUCUUCGGAGCCUUAAAUGAACAGUCGGUGCGAUGGAUGAACUCUCAAGGGGCCUCUUCUGUGCCUUAAGACAGCCGCCCUGAACCCAAAUACAAGCCAAGAAGCAGGAAGAGACUGCAGCUGGUGAAAGACUUAAUAUUUGUACAAACUGAGCCCCAGUGUGGCCUCUGUGUUGACUAAACGUGUGUGUUGUGAUUGAUUGUGAAAGGAAUUGAAAUGAUCACUACAACUGCGCUGCUCUCUACGCUAAGGGCCUUUCUCCUGACCAUCAUUAUGUCACUUUUACAACAACGUUUAGGGAUUCAUGUCGACAGUUUGGCUCCUGUAGACACCUAAUUAGGAUAUUUUAUUGGCCUGCUUGAAUUUAUGUGACCCAAUACUGUGGCUGCGGAGCAUUCUGCUUCAAACACGAUAAGAACUUUCCUCACAGUUUCUCUUUGUAUAUGCACUCUUUCCUGUCAUAGCUUUGCUCCAGGAUCAUUGACAGCCUACUACAAUGCAAAGUGCCUUCACCGGCAGAAUGUUACAGUGCAGCUUUGUAUGCCGUGUUUGUAGAAUGCCCGCUGUUGGUUCCAUGUUGUGAUGUUACUAUAAACGUGAGUUAUUGAAUAGCUACUGAGCUCUCUGUGGGUG